UACGUAGGGUGCGAGCGUUGUCCGGAAUUAUUGGGCGUAAAGGGCUCGUAGGCGGUUUGUCGCGUCGGGAGUGAAAACACCGGGCUUAACUCGGUGCUUGCUUUCGAUACGGGCAGACUUGAGGCAUGCAGGGGAGAACGGAAUUCCUGGUGUAGCGGUGAAAUGCGCAGAUAUCAGGAGGAACACCGGUGGCGAAGGCGGUUCUCUGGGCAUUACCUGACGCUGAGGAGCGAAAGCGUGGGUAGCAAACAGG
rnacentral:rRNA from 1 species